GACGAACGCUGGCGGCGUGCUUAACACAUGCAAGUCGAACGGAAAGGCGAUGCGUUUGCGGGGUUCUCGAGAGGCGAACGCGGGAGAAACACGUGAGUAACCCGUCCUUGUAAUUGGGAUAACAUCUGGAAACUGGGGCUAAUAUCCGGGAGAAUAUAUUGCUGCGUGUGGUUCAUUGGAAAGUGUCGGCUGUUGGGGCUGGUCUCGAGGCUUAUCAGCUGGUUGGUGGGGUAGGUGCGUACCAGGGCUUCGACGGGUAGCCGGCCUGGGAGGGUGACCGGCCACAUUGGGCCUACGAUACGGCCCAGUAUCCUACGGUACGCAGCGGUCGGGAGUCUUACACAGUGGCGGGACGCCUGAUACAGAAGCGCCGCGUGCGGGAUGCCGUCCUUCGGGUUGUAAACCGCUUUCGCCUGUGCCGAAGCGUGAGUGACGGUACCGGGUAAAGAAGCCCCGGCUAACUACGUG
rnacentral:rRNA from 1 species